CUGGGCGAGCAAACCCAAGAGGUAAAUUAUAUAGCAGAAUAAAUUAUAUUAAGCAGUCUGAAAGAAAAAGGGACCGGCAGGAGUUAGAAAACAGUCAACCGAACACCGUUUCUCUUGAGGCUAUCGAAACUCCAGAAGUUACAGCAACUCUAUCAUGGUUGGAGUUGAAUAAAUUUCCCUGGACUACGGUGUUAUCCCAAUGGGAAGUCAGUUUCCCAGUGAGGAAGAAAUAUCUUCAAAAAUUUAAUAAAGCCAGCUCAGUCAUCCAAACAUAUUCGCAUUUGAGAGAGGAAUAUGGCUAUCAACUUUUAGAUAUUGACUUUCAAAAACUUGGCCUAACAAACCCCCACGGUGGAUGUCAAAAAUGGGAUUCAUUAUUUCAAUCUAUCGCUAAAUUCAUUGCAAAAAGAGCAAAAGAUCCUACAUCUAAAGAGUUAAUUCGGAUAAUCGAGGACUCAAACCAUUCCACCGAUUUACGUUUGUUACACACGCUAUUGGCAUUGAACACCGUUUUGAUUCCAGUAAAAGCUGCAAAAGGAUUCAAGCCAACAGUUGCUACUGCACAAGCGGAUACAUUUCUAUUAGUUUAAAAUCAUAACGAAUUCGAAGCUGAACUGGAAAAAAACAUCAAAGUUUAUGAAGAGCAACAAAUUCCCAUACCUCCAAAGCUGAUUGUACUGGGAGAUAAUCUUGCAUCAAUUACUGGAGAGUGUAUGGUGAUUUACAAGUCUAUAAUAUAUAAGCUUCAAACAAUUGUACGCGGAGUUGAUGUUCUAGUGAAACUUCGCAUCAUAUUAGGACUACCAGUAUCAAAGCUCUCGAAGUUAGUUUGGGUUUUCAUCGAACAAUUCAUAUAUGGUGUUUUGCCGGAUAACGGGUAUUAUCUGUGUGUAAACAAGCUCGUGGAUUAUUUGAAUCAACAGGAAUGAUGAUAGCAUGUUUUGUAGCUACAUGUGCUGACACAUUUGCAACGGCAAAUGAGUUGAUAAUGCACGUGAAAAAUGUUCAUCGACCGCCCGUUUUUUAUGAGUAUAAAUGCACGUUUCCCGCUUGCAUACAAAUUUUUACUAACCUGUAUAGAUACACGAAGCAUUUAAAAAAUCAUAAAUUCAGUUCGGAAUCAGUUGUUACACCUAUACGUUACAAUUACAGAGAAAAUGAUAUUAAUUUAGAAUUUAAUUUGCCAACAAACAAAGUGAGAAAAGUCGAAGGUAAUACGGUACCUACAGAUAACAGUGAUUCUAUAUUAGAUGCUAAUUUAAACGAUUUGAAAAAAUCGGCUGUUGAAUUUACGUUAAACCUACAUCAAAGACCCAAUUUGGCUCGCAGCGAUGUGCGAGAAAUACAGAAAGCUACCCAAAAAUUUUGUUCGAAAGCUGUUGAAAACAUUGAAAAAUAUAGCACAUGCACUGAUAGUACUGAGAUCAAUUACACUUUUAAAAAAUACCUAUCACAAUUGAAGCAUAGUUUUGAUUUUAUAGAUACAGAUCAUAAGUUCUUAAAACACAUAGAGGACAUAGGCAUUUUCAAACCACCAAAUAUAUUAACUUUACAACAAAAUGAGUUGAAAAUCUCUAUUACUGAAGAAUGUCGUAAGUCAUGCUUGGUAUUGAAUCAGAUCGAAUUUCAAAUAAAAUCCUUUUUUCAAAUGGAAAAUAUUUUUUGUAAAACUAUGGAACAUACGCGAAAAUUGGAACGAUCAGGUGAAAUUGUUCAUUUUGUUAAUGGAAAUGUGUACAAGAAGAU